UUUUUUUUCUGUUAAAGAGAGUCGAAGUUAAGAGAAUAGCUGAGAGGAUCGUAGUUGAAACUGACGUGUCUCUUAUUCUUCUUGUGUAUUGGUGAUGAUCUCAUGUUCUUCUUCAUCUUCUUAAUCUCGGCUUUGAUUCUCCAUAAAAUGCUCUUUAUCAGCUUCUUCUUCUUCUUCCCUAGCUCCAUUACCAUUAUGCAUCCCAUUGCUUUUUUGGUCGAAAGUUAGAAUUGAGAGAGAUAGAGAGCAAAGGACUAGAGAGUGAAUAAAGUCAAAAUGUG
rnacentral:sRNA from 1 species